rfam:TPA: Bos taurus chromosome 17, whole genome shotgun sequence.
UCCCAGGUGGCUUAGUGGUAAAGAAUCUGCCUGCCAAGCAGGAGAAGCUGGUUCCAUCCCUUGGUU